rnacentral:rRNA from 1 species
CGAGCGAGCUUGCCUAGAUGAAUUUGGUGCUUGCACCAAAUGAAACUAGAUACAAGCGAGCGGCGGACGGGUGAGUAACACGUGGGGAACCUGCCCCAUAGUCUGGGAUACCACUUGGAAACAGGUGCUAAUACCGGAUAAGAAAGCAGAUCGCAUGAUCAGCUUUUAAAAGGCGGCGUAAGCUGUCGCUAUGGGAUGGCCCCGCGGUGCAUUAGCUAGUUGGUAAGGUAAAGGCUUACCAAGGCGAUGAUGCAUAGCCGAGUUGAGAGACUGAUCGGCCACAUUGGGACUGAGACACGGCCCAAACUCCUACGGGAGGCAGCAGUAGGGAAUCUUCCACAAUGGACGCAAGUCUGAUGGAGCAACGCCGCGUGAGUGAAGAAGGUUUUCGGAUCGUAAAGCUCUGUUGUUGGUGAAGAAGGAUAGAGGUAGUAACUGGCCUUUAUUUGACGGUAAUCAACCAGAAAGUCACGGCUAACUACGUGCCAGCAGCCGCGGUAAUACGUAGGUGGCAAGCGUUGUCCGGAUUUAUUGGGCGUAAAGCGAGCGCAGGCGGAAGAAUAAGUCUGAUGUGAAAGCCCUCGGCUUAACCGAGGAACUGCAUCGGAAACUGUUUUUCUUGAGCGCAGAAGAGGAGAGUGGAACUCCAUGUGUAGCGGUGGAAUGCGUAGAUAUAUGGAAGAACACCAGUGGCGA